CGGGGGGGGGCAAGCGUUGUUCGGAAUUACUGGGCGUAAAGGGCUUGUAGGUGGCCAACUAAGUCAAACGUGAAAUCCCUCAGCUUAACUGGGGAACUGCGUCUGAUACUGGAUGGCUUGAGUUUGGGAGAGGGAUGCGGAAUUCCAGGUGUAGCGGUGAAAUGCGUAGAUAUCUGGAGGAACACCGGUGGCGAAGGCGGCAUCCUGGACCAAUACUGACACUGAAAAGCGAAAGCCAGGGGAGCAAACGGGAUUAGAUACCCCGGUAGUCCUGGCCCUAAACGAUGAAUGCUUGGUGUGGCGGGUAUCGAUCCCUGCCGUGCCGAAGCUAACGCAUUAAGCAUUCCGCCUGGGGAGUACGGUCGCAAGGCUG
rnacentral:rRNA from 1 species